UUGAAUUACAUAUUUUUUAGAGAAAUUAGGCAUUAUAUACAUGAAUAAAGACAUAAUUAGCUAUAUACCAAACUAUCCCUGACCAAACUAUCUUUCUUCUAUCUCUCUCUCGUGUUUCUUCUUCCAAAUCCUGCCCAAAUAUUAAAUUUUUUUUCCUUUCUUUUAUUUUUGAGUUUCCUUAAAAUUCCUAAAUUGAUUUUUUUUUGUUUUGUCAAUAGAUUCUUCACUUUUUUUCUAUCUUCAAAGAUGUGAAUCCAUAUUCAUUUAAAUAUAUUUCUUUCAACUUAGCAUCUGGAUCCAACUAGUAUUAUGGCUCUGGAUCCUAAAACAGUUUGUGGCUCUUCUGUUAAUCAUUGGGUUGAUUCAAUUGGCGAAGAAAUUGACUACUUAGGAGAUGUUUUUAUUUUGUUCAUCUUCUUUCCAGAUCGAAACAGAGAUGAUUUUUGUCAGAAUUUUGGAAUUGGAUCUCAAAAGUUUAUGGUUUAGUGAAUACCACAACGAAGAUGAUGGAUGUGCUAUCGAGUAUAGUGAGCAGUGAAAAAUAGUAGUAGUAAUAAUACUUUGAUUUUAAAAUCUUGGAGCGUCUUUUACAUGUCAUCAUUAUUGUCCCGAAGUGAAGCGUAAAAGGCAGACGGCGAAAUUCGAGAAAGAUUGCUCCCACGACGGGGACAUAUUUACUCAGUCGCAAUUUUUUUUGUCUGGUUAAUUAUGCUAUACUCAGUCGCAAUUGAAAAUACCUUUUUUAUUGUCAUAGAAUAUUCAAGCUCAUUAAAUAAGUAAUAUCGUCAAAUUCUAAUCA